GACGAACGCUGGCGGCGUGCUUAACACAUGCAAGUCGAACGGAAAGGCCCUGCUUUUGUGGGGUGCUCGAGUGGCAAACGGGUGAGUAACACGUGAGUAACCUGCCCUUGACUUUGGGAUAACUUCAGGAAACUGGGGCUAAUACCGGAUAGGAGCUCCUGCUGCAUGGUGGGGGUUGGAAAGUUUCGGCGGUUGGGGAUGGACUCGCGGCUUAUCAGCUUGUUGGUGGGGUAGUGGCUUACCAAGGCUUUGACGGGUAGCCGGCCUGAGAGGGUGAACGGGCACAUUGGGACUGAGAUACGGCCCAGUCUCCUACGGGAGGCAGCAGUGGGGAAUAUUGCACAAUGGGCGGGAGCCUGAUGCAGCAACGCCGCGUGCGGGAUGACGGCCUUCGGGUUGUAAACCGCUUUCGCCUGUGACGAAGCGUGAGUGACGGUAAUGGGUAAAGAAGCACCGGCUAACUACGUG
rnacentral:rRNA from 1 species